rnacentral:misc_RNA from 1 species
AAGCCUCAUUUUUGUUCAUCUCCUGCAAAACAACAAUUUAUAUCAUUUUUGGAUCCAAAACAGAAGGGAAUGAAGAAGGGCAGGAGAAUUCAUGCAAGUAACCAACUCCAACAAGCUUAGGCAAAUAUUUGAGUAGUUCAGCUGAGCCUCCUAAACAGAACAUUUACGGCUCCUUUUUCUUAUUUAUAAGAUAUAUGCUUAGCCGGGUAUCACAUUGUUGAAAAUAAGACAUCUCAAAUAUCUAUGCAAGCUGAUAACGACAUAAAUUUAUGUUUGUCUACACUUCAGCUAUGUGAUGUGACAGGAGAACAAAGCACAGAAGCUACAUGCCAAAUUUCUAACAUGAAAGCAAAUAAUUUCACAAGAACAAGAAAGAAAACACAAUUGAGAUAUGGCAAUAAACUAAUACAAUUACAAAUGAACCCAUAUUUAUGAUGGGAAUAGACAUUAUGAAAGGUAAUAU